rnacentral:rRNA from 1 species
AAUUGCUGUGGUAUUUUGACUAUACAAAGGUAUUGAAAUAAGGCUUUAAUUGAGUGCUAAGAGAAUGGAAAUACAGAAAUUAACUUUCUUGAUCUUAAUAAUAGAAAUUAUUUUUAUUUGUGAAGAAUCAAUAAUGUAAAUUAAGGACAAGAAGACCCUAAGAAUUUUAUAAAAUUAAUUAUUUAAAUUGAAUAAUUAAUUUUUUUAAUUGGGGCGAUUAAUUAAAAUCAUAAACUUUUUUAUGUUGAAAGAAGAACCAUUAAUAAUGGUCAAUUGACAAAAAUACUCUAGGGAUAACAGCGUAAUAAUUUUUGAUAGUUCAUAUUGACAAAAUAGUUUGCGACCUCGAUGUUGGAUUAGGAUAUUUUCUUGAUGAAGAAGUUAAGAAAAAAAGUUUGUUCAACUUUUAAAUUCCUACUUGAUCUGAGUUCGC